rnacentral:rRNA from 1 species
AGUGAACGCUGGCGGUAGGCCUAACACAUGCAAGUCGAACGGCAGCACAGUAAGAGCUUGCUCUUACGGGUGGCGAGUGGCGGACGGGUGAGGAAUGCAUCGGAAUCUACUUUUUCGUGGGGGAUAACGUAGGGAAACUUACGCUAAUACCGCAUACGACCUACGGGUGAAAGCAGGGGAUCUUCGGACCUUGCGCGAUUGAAUGAGCCGAUGUCGGAUUAGCUAGUUGGCGGGGUAAAGGCCCACCAAGGCGACGAUCCGUAGCUGGUCUGAGAGGAUGAUCAGCCACACUGGAACUGAGACACGGUCCAGACUCCUACGGGAGGCAGCAGUGGGGAAUAUUGGACAAUGGGCGCAAGCCUGAUCCAGCCAUACUGCGUGGGUGAAGAAGGCCUUCGGGUUGUAAAGCCCUUUUGUUGGGAAAGAAAAGCAGCAGGUUAAUACCCCGCUGUUCUGACGGUACCCAAAGAAUAAGCACCGGCUAACUUCGUG